GAAAAGUUGCUGACUCCUUUCUCCAUGGAAAGAGCAUGCUUCUCUACUCUUAUGUGAUGGCCAUAUUAGGCACGUGAGGGACUAAAUCCAUCAAAAAUUCACAGCUUCUAACUCCAAACAUGGUGGCUGACUAGAAUUUGAAAUUCAAAACUCAAAGAUCCCGUCUAAACUUGAAGCCCUAAUAUUUAUAUAUAAAUAUUGGCGUUUGGGAUCCACAAACGGGGGAUUUUUUUGGCAGCCGCAACACAUACGACUGGUGGAGCUUUUACUCUUUAUUUCUCCCUAAAAAAUAUAUUGGUUCAAGUUGUUUUGUCUUAGGGGUGAGCGGAUUUUCUUUCUGUUGGUCAUCUGUUUGGUCUUUAAAGGUUUCUUUUAGCCACCUCUUUACUUGAAAACUUCUUUAAUCCAUUUUUCGGGUUGUUCCGAGAGUAGAGAAUAGAUCCGAGACCCGCGUCUCACGUUCACUGCCCCGCAAAUGGUACAUCCAAUUUCCUUUGUCCUUUGUUUUAUUUUAUUUUUAUUUUUAUGAUAAAGUGAUGUGUGUAUUCUUAAAAAGAACUUGUGUACUGCGAGAUUCUAUUUAGCUAUAACAAAAUCAUGUCAAAGUUAGUUUGUCUAUCUAUAGUAAAACUAUGUUUAAAUGUUUCUGCCCCUUAGUUUGGACCUUGCAAAAUAACGUUAUUUCACUGUUUUGCUUUUAUUAGAUAAUAGUUGCAUUGAAUCAGUUUCUUUUUAUGUUAUUAGCUUGUUUGUUGUCUUUAAGGAUGAAAUUUGACACAGAUUAUGCACUUCUUUGUUUAAAAUAAUUUGGUCAAGGAAGAUGUUUUCUUUUCCUAAAAAAGGCAAUCUUUCUCUAACAAAACUUAAAACAUGAUUUACACCCCUGUAGCCUUAAUCCGUAUUCCAUAUGCACACGUAUCUUUUGAAGUCUUUGUCAUAUAUUUUGAAGUCCUUGUACGUAUGUAAUUUAUUUCCAGGAGAAUUCUUUAUAUCAUAUUCUUAGGAGUAUCAAUCUCCAUUUUUUUUAAAAGAGAUGUUUGCUUAGCUUAGUUCAAUAUUAAAUAUUAGGCAGACUUUUGUUUAUUCUCUAAUGGAGUGGGCUUUCUUUUUACUUACUUAUUUUUGUACUUUACGUGCAUAUACAAAUACAAUUCGUUUGCAGGAACAUUUUUGUGCAUGUCAUACAUAUUAUCCCUCUAAAAAGGGCAUAAGUUACAUUUCUUUAUCCAUGCUUUUGAUUCGUGGGAUUUUUUAAAAUUUCAACUUGAUGUAUUUGGAGAUUAGUUGUGCAUAAAAGGCAUGUGGUGUUGUGAUUUAUCUAUUUUAUUUAAAUUUAUCUAGUUUGAAAUUCAUAGAUCCUAGCUUUUGAACAUUACAUUUAUCGGUGACUUUAUUUGUAUUUUUUAAGCUGGAUCAUCGUACUAAUUUUUAUCUUCUUUUUAUUUUUGCAUGAACACUCCGGAGCAAAAUGGAGUCUUAAUUCAAGACUCUCACUAAGAGAAUCUCAAAAAUGAGACUCGACGUUAUCCCUCAUCCGGUCAAGAAGUUACAUUUUAUACUCUAAGUCAAACUUGUUAGCAGUCUAGUGCGUCUUUCCUAUCUCCGAGUUUUAUUUUCCUAUAUACGCUUGCUAUUGUAUUUCACUCACAUAUUUUGCAUAUUAUUGUUGUUUUGAAUUUGUGUCUUGUGUGCUUGAACUCAUUGGUAAAGGUCUUUCAAAUAUAUUUAGCAAAUUUAGCUUGUUCCUCUCCCCGUUUUUUUUUUAGAUAUUAAAAUUAGCAUAAUCUCUAGGCUUCGGUAUAUAAUUCAUAUUGUUUGAGAUUAAAACUUGAUAGGCGAAAAUAUAUCUUAGAGUUUAAUGGCCUAGUUAUUAGAGAGUUUUUUUUCCUUUAGAUUCAAGUUAGUCUUACUAAUUAGUAAUAUGGAAUUUAUAAAGUAUAAUUUUUGCGGUAGACAAAUUUAUCAUCGCUAGACUCGAAGACCGGAUUUAAUAAUCUUAGAUUUGGUAAAUCAACCUUUCAUCAAGUUCAAAUAUAAGAUGGCAACAUUGCCAAACCAACUACGCAAGGCUUUUUUUUGGAAUUUCAAAUGACAAGAAAAAUAUUUUAUUUGUUUAUUUAGUUGUAUCGUG
rnacentral:lncRNA from 1 species